GGGAGUGCGGGGCUGCGGCCCGGCCCCGCGCCGGGGAGGGGGAGCCCGCCGAGGCUCCGGCCUACCCCGCUCCGCAACUCGGCCUACCCCGCCCCGCAGGCCGCAACGGCCGCACGCCGCUGCGCCGGGUGAGGGCCGCGCCGACCGGCCCGAGCCGCCCCCGAGCUCCGGGCGCUGCCGUCCCGCCCGCCGCAGGUGCCGCCGCCGCUGUCCCGGGAGAGGAGCCGCCGCGGGCCCGGCCGGCCGCCGCUGAGGCCGGGGAAGAGACGGUGGAAGAGCGAUGCAGGAAGCCAUUACCAUCACCGAGCAGCCAGUUUCUGCCUCCGUCCCCGUGGGAUACUCCUUCACCCUGCGGUGCAGAGCUGAGGGACGCACAUCGCUGCAGUACCAGUGGUUUUGUCAACAUCAGUCUGUUUGCUGCCAGAUUCCUGGUGCCAUCAAGCAAGACUUGCCCAUCACUGCACAGCAGACCCAACUCUACACCUGCAGAAUAAAUGAUCUCUACAAAAAUGCAGUCUUCACUGAAUGGGUGAAGGUGGAGGUCCAUCAGUGUGUUGCCAGAGGAAUGCCCCCUCAGCUCUGGAGGGGAGAGCCGGUCAUCGUCCUCAACCCCUCUGAGCAGAGGGUGGAGGUGGGGAAGCCACUACAGCUGCAGUGUGCUGCCAUGGGAGUCCCAGCCCCCAGCUACCAGUGGUACCGGAACGGGAACCUGCUGGAACACCAGAAUAGAAAAAAACUCUGGAUCGCCCACACAAAGGUCAGUGACUCCGGCACCUACCUCUGCUGUGCCUCCAAUAGCCACGGAGAGCACUGGACCAAUGCUGUGGACAUUCACAUAGGUACAUGUCCCUCUGAAAAGUUUUUUGCCACAGGUAAGAUAGCACUUUUAGUAGGCAACAACCACUACCAGCAUCAUCCCAACCUCAUGGCUCCUGUCACGGAUGUGUUUGAGCUGAGUCUUCUUCUGGAGCAGCUGGGCUUCCAGGUUGUCUCCCUUCUGGAUCUGAACAAAGCUGAGAUGGUGGCAGCGGUCAGUCGGUUCCUGCAGCUGCUGGGGAAGGGAGUCUACGCUGUAUUCUACUACGCCGGGCACGGAUACGAACAUUUGGGGAGGAACUACAUGGUCCCUGUUGAUGCUCCACAACCAUACGCCCCUGAGAACUGCAUCAGCGUUCAGAGGAUCCUCCAGAAGAUGCAGCAGCAGCAGACGGCCCUGAACCUCAUCCUGCUGGACACCUGCAGGAAAUGGUACAACCCAGAGUGUGCCCUCUCCCACGUGCAGCCACUGGAGCCCUGGGGCAACACCGUCUAUGGCUACGCUACGAGCGAAGAUGCAGAAGCUUAUGAGUUGCAGGAUGGGGAGUUCAGCUCUGGGAUCUUCAUGAAAUAUCUGAAGAAGCAUAUUCUGCAAGAGAAGAAGGUUACACACAUGCUGGAGAAUGUGCUAGAAGACAUUGGCCGGGAUCCCUUGGUCACUGGGAAGCAGGUGAUGGAGAUCAAACACACUCUGAAGGAAGCUCGGUCCCUAACGGACCCCAUCUGUCCCAUGGGAGCAGCUGCUGAGCGCCGGGGAUGCGGCCACGAGCCCCUGAGCAGAACGGUGACUUUCCCCUGCGGGGCACAGGCGGAGCUCUUCUUCCACUGGCUCUUCUCCAAUGUGCUGUGUGUGGGUGCCAGGCUGCAUGCCCCGGCCCGCCUUGCCGAUCCCUGCCUCUGCCUCCACCGGCCCAUCGAGACAGGUGCUGUGGGCAUCCCAGAAGAGGGCCUAUGCCACGUGGCCUCCCUGCUCACCUCUGUGUGCAAGGGGCAGGAGAUGGACUGCAUCUUCCAGCUCUGUGGACUACAGAAGAUUCAGACUGAUGUGGUGCUGCAGUUGGAUUUGCAUUACACCCAGCCAAGCACGAAGCAAAGGACUUGUGAAAGCCUGCAGACGACCCUCCAGAAGUCUCUGCUAGGACACUUCAUCAGCCAGAGGAACUACUGUGCGGCAGACUACCAGGGAGCUGCUGUGUGCGCAGGCAGCGUGCGCCUCCGGGAAGCGCCGAGCACGGACCCGCAGAGGCAGACGUCUCUGCAGACUGGCCCCGGCCACAGCUUGCCUGGCAGCAAUCCCUCGCACUCCAGCAGCGAGCCAGAGGAGAACGACGAGAGUGACCUGGGCGAGCUGUGCUCAGCACUGCUGCGGGCUAGCCCAGGGCAGGGCUGCCCCUGACCCCUUGGGCUGGCAUGCCCAGCCUCGGGAACUGAUACUUUUGAUGGAGGCAACAGUUGUUGGAGUGCCAAAUACGUCGGAAUCCAUCAGCUGCUUUCCAGCCCUGGAGAUGGCCCUGUCCAAAUGAGGCCAAUUUUGCUGUUUUGGAAAGGCUUCUCCCUUCCGCACCGUGUGGCAUGCAAGGCCUGAAGCCUGCUGGAAGCAGCCCCUGUCUGGAGGAGGACAGCGCCCCAACAAGUCAUAACGUGUCUCUCAAAGUCAGGGGCACUGGCUGAUGUUUUCUGCGAGUUAGGCUUUGCCUGAAAGCAAAUGUUACAGUAGUAAACAUGAGGGGCAACCCAUAAACACUACAGAGCCAUGCUGGGCAGUGACACAGCUACAACUACAACAGCUACAGCAACAACAGCAACAAUUUGUAGAAGUCUCUGACAGUAGGUUGUAGUGAGGUUAGAGUCAGUCUCUUCGCUCAAGUAAUGAGUGGUAGGACAAGAAGAAAUGUCCUCAAGUUGUGCCAGGGAGGUUUAGUUUGGAGAUAAGGAAGAAAUUUUGUUAGUGCACAGGCUGCCCAGGGAGCUGGUGGAGUUCUCAUCCCUGGAGAUAUUGCAAAGCCGUGUAGCUGAGGUGCUGAGAGACGUCGUUUGGUGGUGGGCUUGGCAGUGUUAAGUUAGUGGUUGGACUCAAUCUUAAAGGUCUUUUCCAACCAAAAUAACUAUGAUUCUACAGCCUCAGAGCCCCACUGCUGACUGCAGUUGUGCUGUGCAAGGGACACAGGGCUCACCCCAGGGAGGCUGAUGACACUGGCAGGCUCUCCUCUGGGGUCACAGUGGGAUUUUCUUUCCUUGCCAGUCCUGCCUGGGUCCAAGCUGGUUUUAAGUUAUGCAUUUAUAUAUUGCUAAAGAAUGUAUUUCUAUCUGGGGCAAGGCAAUUGCUUGCCAGGAAAAGGAAGGUCAGAUGUUCCAUCAGAUAUGUGUUUAUAAUAGAGGGCAGCUUCCCACCAGUAGUAGCCACUGGGCAGAUACUCUUACACUUGCCCUUUCUAGCAUGGUACCCAGGGGCAUUGAAGAGUUGCAAGUCCCAUACUUCCCUGAGGUCUUCUCAGAUGCAGAAUUUCCUAGGCGAGAGAUGGAAAAGAUAGGAUGAAAGAGGAAGAACCUCAAAAAAAGUUAUUAUUAGUGCAAUUUUUUUUUCCCUAAGUGCCUGUCUGUGCAUUUACCCUGGGCAAUCUCAAGCACUACCUUUCCAUGGAGAACCAGCUGUCCAGAGAGAGCCACAAGUGAGCAGUGCCCAAAGAACAACCCGGGUAGGUGCAGCCCCCUCCUUGCCAACUUCUAUAAUGUUUGACGAGGAUUUGGGGUUUGCUCCAGGUAACAGCUCAGCAAGGGUCUGGGAGGGUGAUCGAAUAGUUUGACAGAGGCCAGUGGCCCCACUGAAGUGUGGGGUCUCCAUCCUUGGAGAGCAGUUCACUCUGGGCUGGAGAGGUGCUGGAGAACUGAUACGCCCAGGCAGGGUGCUGGACCAGAGACCACUGAGGUCCCUGUGAAAGGAAGAGCUUGGAGAUCAAAGGCCUCCUGAGAGGUAAAGGGUGGUGGGGUGGGAAGAAUGUCCAAGCUCUGUCUUCUGUCUUGGUCUGAAAGAGGGAUGGAGAGAGCAUUUUCUAAGUUUUGGUUCUGCACCAGUGAAGAUACUUGCAUCUCUGUCUACAGUGUCUGUUGCAGUAUGGAAAAACAUGAAAUGUUCCUUCCAGAUAAACCAUCCUACAAGUUCUGGAAACCUGUCCAAAGAGAACAGACGAGGCUUUUAUUCUCCUCACAGUGAGUAGAGCCAAGGGAAAGAAGAGAGGCCCCAUCUGGGCUGAAGUCUAGAAAGUCUCCUAGGAAAAAAUGUAAAGCUCUAAAAAAAAUACAUUACAGAGUGUAGUUUAAAUAAGGGGGACUAAUAGAGAGGCUGAGCCAGAAAAUAAUGAACUGAUUGAAGGGAGAACCAAAGGCCAACUCAACACCCACGAAACUGUAAGGGCUCUCAAGUGGCUGCAUCAGGCUUAGGAGGCCUCAUGUCCCAGUGCCAGCCACAGGCCUUGUCCCUGUCACCAGCUCUCAUGCUCCUUCAGGAAGACCCUGCAGCCGAGCCCAGCUCUGAGCACAGAUGACUCAUCCAGGAAUACUGUGCCUCUUGACCACAUCCUUCCCAAUCUGCAGCCGCAGUCCUUGGGCCCUGUCAGCUCACUGCGGCCAGCAGGAAGGGUAGGAAGGAAGGAGCAGCCAUCUCCAAGCAGUGCACUGGCAUUUCCUACUCUGCCCAUGGCUGAGGUCAUGACCUGGAGAGACCCUAUGCCUGGACAGUACAGGUGGACUCCCCUGCAUGUAGUCUUCAUAGUAUCUGUAGUAGGAAAACCAGUCCGUUACUCAGUGUGGUUCUCCCAGGACUACAAGACCCAUUGGUGGAAUAAUUUCUGAGGGUAACUAGCUGAGGCUGAGGUGACAUCCACAUCUUAGGAGAAGGUAUAGUGUUCAGGGAACUCUCAGAGCUGAAUGCAGCUGAUAUGCAUGGAAUCUGUUCUGGCCCCUGAUAGUUCCCUAGGAAACAUAACCCGCAGCCUUGGAUGUUGACAACACCAGAGGGGCUUGGUACAAUGACUGAGAGAAACAGCAUGGAGGGUGGAGCAGAGUGGAGUAAAGACAUCGUGGCCAAGCUCUGUGAUAUCACUUAAGGGAUGGGAACCUGAUGGUACCAUGGAACUGAUAAGCUGCAUAGUUGCUACCCUGAGCCAGCAGUUUCUCAUUUUUUGUCUAAAUCACGUCCUCUGGUUGAACUUUGCUCAUUAUGAUCUCAUAAUACCAAAGCACCCCUCCAUCCCAAAGGCUCCCCGCCUCCAAGGUGCAACCAGUCCUCACUGAGCAUGUGCUCUGAAUUUCUUGUCUGUGCCUUUAAAAGCAAAGUGAGGACAUUUUACACCAAUUAUAACAAAAGUCUGCAUGGCUACAGUCACUCAAGCUCCACUUGAAAGUAAACAAAUAGUAUAAAAAUGGCUUAAGAGAGGAGGAAUGUAGGGGGAAGACGCCACCACAGACAGGUUGUGAGGACUCCUCGCUGCCUUCUGAGGUCAGAAGCUGGGCUGAACCUCUCUCCCCACCCAUAGGGCACCCAUUGGGUGAGACUGGAACACUCGGCUGUAGCAAGUGCAUCCCAGGAAACCCAGAUAUCUCCUGCGAGUCGUUUCAUCUGUUAACACCUUUGUCUCUGGAUGUGUUGUUCAUAGUCCUGGUACCUGCCCGUGCUUUGCAGACAGUGUAUUUAUCACUGUCAGUCCAAAAGAAUCUGCAGCUCUUUAAGAAACUGCUGUUCAUUCAUCCAGCCAUGAGAGUUCUCACUGAACACCACCUGACUCUUUCAGUGUGGCCGUCCUGGUUCAUGAAUGUGACUGGGCUGAAGGUGCAUCGUGCUCUUUGUGCAUCUGUAAUUGUGGUAGUUCAAUGCACUGAAUGUGACAGAUACAGACCACUGAAUUGUGCAUCACUCAGAAUUGAAGCCCAGCUGUCCCCAGCCUCUCUGACAUCUGAGGAUAAGAUGGAACACAAGAAGUAUUUUCUGCCAAAUUUCUCUAUCCUUUAACACAGGACCACAAAAGGCUGAGACUCCAUUAGAUGCACAACUACAGGCAAAGUGGGUUGAAGGAAUUGCUUCCAACUUACAUUCCCUCUCUGCCUCUGUGCCUUCACUUUUACAAGCACAACCACAGCCAUUGCCCUCCACUUCCAGCUGUUUCUGGGCCAGUGUGUGCCCAGAGGCCACCAACAGCCACUUGGCAUUUAGAAGUGUUUCUGUAGGGUAAUAAGCUGCUUUCCAUUCUGCUGUGUUUCCUCUGAGAAGCACCAAGUGAACUGAAGUUUUAAAACAACCAUUAAUCUGAGGAAAAUAGAAACACCUAAAUGGUCAAUAAUUUUCUUUUUAGAUAAAUGCCCUUUUUUUUUUUCCUUUCUGCUAAUGAAGGUUUGUUGAACAGAAGGACCUUGGUCAACAGCCUGAUGUGCUCUUCUGCUGCAGGGUUAAUUUAGGACUCUAUUCUUAGCUCGUUUGCUGACCUUUGGCAACUCCUGACAAAACAAGGCAAAUGUGCCCAAAGAGAGUGAGAAAACAAGGUAGUGAAAAUCAGGGAAAUGCCAUUUCUGUCUGUUUUAUUUAGUCACAGAAAAUUCACUCUCCCAGCAUGCAGUCAAGAAGUGUGUUGUAUGUACACUGGUGUAUGUACACUGGCACUCUUCUGUUGGCAUCAGAAUCCUUAAGGUUUGUUCUUGGUUGGCUUUUUUUGUGACUGAAGCAAGUAAAGGGUAGGUUUGCCCCAAAUCAGCCACUCUCCAGCUUCAACAGAGAUAAGCGUAAGGCAGAUCUUUCUGCACUCAAGUUAGGGAUAAAAAGGCAGCAGAAGCAAUGGGUGCAUGUCUCAGGGCAGGCAAGGACUCAGCUCUGGAGAUAGAGGGCAGCAAAGCAUGUCUCCAUGCCAAGGGGCACGUUUGGGUAGCAGAGGUGUCUGCACAUCACGAUGGAUGUUUCAGACACCAUUGGGGCAUUACUGAUGUCACAGAAGAUAUAAAAAUUCAUGUGAUUUUAUUGAAUAGUUAUCUUUAGUAACAUUUGUAGGUAAGUUAGCAUAACUAAGCAAAUCUAGGCCUCCUUGGUGAAGCAACUCCCAAGGAGAAGAACAUGCAUGAGAAAUCAGGCACAGUGUGAACAAGAGUGAUAUUGAGGCAGAUUGUUUGGAUCCAUGCACUUGCAAGACAUGAAACAUCUAAGAACAAUGCUGGGAGUGAUUACUUCAGAGAAAGAAAAGAGUUUGUUAUAUUAACCAUUAGGCUGUUCACUGUUCUGAACCCCCGUAACUUUCUGGUCCUGAAAUCCAGGUAACAUUCUGGUCCAGAGCAUCAGAUAACAGUCUGGUCUAGAGUGCCAGACAAUUAGUCUGUAAGGCCACUCUGGUCCAGAACACCAAAUAAUUAAUAGUUAUCAAUCAGUUAGUUGGCCAAGUGAUUUUGAAAUACAUGUGAAUAUGUAUAACUUCUGUAAUAAGGGACCAAUCAAUAAGAGUGAUGUAAUGUGUAAAAGUAACAAAUAGCCAAUCAAGGUAAAGGAUAAACUUAAUGAACAAUUCUAAGUGGGCUUUUAUGCAUGGUGGAAAAGAACAAAAGAAUGUUGGGUAGAAAUAGCUGUUAAUUUUAAUGCUUGUUUGGACAUUCUUUGGGAAUGAUCCCGUGUUCCUGGUGCACUUUCAAAUAAAGGACAUCUCUGCUUAUCUAA